AUUGAACGCUGGCGGCAGGCCUAACACAUGCAAGUCGAACGAGUGGCAGACGGGAGAGUAAUGUCUGGGAAACUGCCUGCUGGAGGGGGAUAUCUUCUGGAAAUGGUAGCCAAUACCGCAUCCUCUCAGAUGUCCCCAGAUGGGUUGAGCUAGUUGGUGGGGUAACGGCCAACCAAGGCGACGAUCCCUAGCUGGUGUGAGAGGACGACCAGCAAAACGGGAACUGAGAAACGGUCCAGACUCCUACGGGAGGCAGCAGUGGGGAAUAUUGCACAAUGGGCGCAAGCCUGAUGCAGCCAUGCCGAGUGUAUGAAGAAGGCCUUCGGGUUGUAAAGUACUUUCAGCGGGGAGGCGUUACCCGCAGAAGAAGCACCGGCUAACUCCGUGCCAGCAGCCGCGGUAAUAC
rnacentral:rRNA from 1 species